GUGCCCAUAGCUCAGCUGGAUAGAGUGUCUGACUACGAAUCAGAAGGUCGGGGGUUCGAAUCCCUCUGGGCACA
rnacentral:tRNA from 1 species